UUCUUGAAAAUCAAAAAAAUUGGCGGUAUUUUAGUCUAUUUAGAGGAAUUUGCCCUGUAAUUGAUGAUCCACGAUUAGUUUUACUUAUUUUAAUAGUUUACAUAUCGUCGUAUAUUGAAUAUUUUUUUAAGAAUGUAAUGUUCAAUAUUUUUUAUAAGAAAAGAAUUCAGAUCAAGAUGUAGCUUAUAAAUAAGAAGAGGUGAAUUACAAUAAAUUUAUUUAAACGGAUUAAUAAAUUAAAUUUUAUUAUAAAGGUGGAUUUAAAAGUAAUUUUAUUAAUAUAAAUAAGAUGAUUUUAGCUCUAAAAUAUGUACAUAUCGCCCGUCACUUUCAUUAUAAAAUGGAAUAAGUCGUAACAUAGUAGGUGUAUUGGAAAAUGUACCUAGAAAGAACAAAUUAGAGCUUGAGGAAGCAUUUUAGUUACAUUAAAAAGUUUAUUGUAAAAUCAAUAUAAUUUGAGUAUAAAAUUUUAUUAAUUUUGUUAUUUAAUCAAAUUUUAAUAUAAGUAUAUAUUAUUUUAUUAAUAUAAUUGAAAAAAUUUUUUUUAUGAUAGUUUAUUAGUAUUGAGAAAGAAAAAUUUUUUAUGAGUAAAAGAAGAAUUUAAUUUUCGUACCUGGGUAUCAGGGUUUAUUAAAUAUAAAUUAAAAAUUUUAAUUUUCUCGAAUUAACAAGAGUUAUAAUUAUAGCUUUUUUUUGUUGAAUAAAAAUUAUUAAUAUAAUUAUGGAAAUGAAAUACUAUUCGAUUGUUAAUAUAUCUAGUUUUUAAAGAAAAAAAUUUAAUUUUUUUAUUAAAAAGAAAUAAGUUAAAUUAUUAGCUUAUUUUUAUUAAUAUUAUAUAUUUUAAGGGAUGAGCUUUAAAAUAAAUUUUUUAAAAGUAACAUAUAGUUCUAAUAAAGUAUGAUUGUAAGUUUUAAUCUUUAAGAGUGUGUUGUAACUAUUUUAGAAAUAAAUAUAAUUUAUAUGUAAACUUUGAAUUUUUUUAUUUAAAUGAAAAUUUUAAUUGAAUAGAUUUUGUAAUAAUGAUAGAAUUAGUAUAAAAUUAUGUAAAGAGUUUUGCAGAUGAGAGGUUUGAUAAAGGAAUUCGGCAAAUUAUUUUCCACCUGUUUAUUAAAAACAUGGCCUUUUGAUCAUAAUUUAAGGUCUGACCUGCCCAAUGAGGAAUUAAAUGGCCGCGGUAUUUUGACUGUGCAAAGGUAGCAUAAUCAGUAGUUUUUUAAUUGAAAGCUGGAAUGAAGGGUUGGAUGAGAAAAUAACUGUCUCUAUCAAAAUUUAUUAGAACUUUAUUUUUAAGUUAAAAAGCUUAAAUAAUAAUAGAAGACGAGAAGACCCUAUAGAGUUUUAUUAAUUAAUUUUUAAUUAUUUUUAGUAUUAAU
rnacentral:rRNA from 1 species